rnacentral:rRNA from 1 species
AUGGCCUCGCCGGCGCCGGUUCCGGCCUCGCCGGGGUCCUCCUCUCAGAAAAAACGAGGUGCAACGGAAUCAAUUGGCCUGUAUGCUGUCCAGUGUUGUGAAUGUCAUAAAUGGCGUACAGUUUCAACGAAAGAUGAAUUUGAGACAAUUCGUGAGAACUUCACUGAAGACCCAUGGUUCUGCAGUAAAAGACCUGAGUGCUCGUGUGAAGACCCUCCAGACAUUGAGUACGACAGCAGCCGCAUAUGGGUCAUCGACAAGCCCAACAUACCAAAGCCUCCGCCCAAGACCGAGAGACUUGUGAUCAUGAGAGGUGAUCUGUCUAAAAUGGACAUCUACUAUGUCCUGCCAAACGGGAAGCGUGCAAGGGGCAUCGGGGACGUGCAGAAGUUCCUUGACACAAACCCAGAGUACAAGGACCGCAUAUCAGCUGAAAGCUUCAGUUUUACGGUGCCCAAGAUUGUUGAGGAGACCGUUUCACAGAGCUCUUUGUGGAAGACUAAAAAGGCUAAAAAGCAGGACAAGAUAAAUGCUUCAAGCAGCAAGAAGGACAAGGCAAAUGCUUCAAGCAGUGAGAACUAG